AGAGUUUGAUUCUGGCUCAGAACGAACGCUGGCAGCGUGGAUUAGGCAUGCAAGUCGAACGUGAAGCCGAUGACCAAUCUUUCGGGAAAGUGAUUCGGUGGAAAGUGGCGAAAGGGUGAGUAACGCGUGGGUAAGCUAUCUUCAAGUUCGGGACAACCCGCCGAAAGGCGAGCUAAUACCGAAUGUGGUCUUUGGAUGCAUAUCCGGAUGAUUAAAGGUGCGCUCCUUUUGGACCUGCCGCUUUUAGAGGUGCCCGCGUGCCAUCAGCUUGUUGGUAGGGUAACGGCCUACCAAGGCUUACGGCUAGCCGGCCUGAGAGGGUGACCGGCCACACUGGGACUGAGACACUGCCCAGACUCCUACGGGAGGCUGCAGUCGAGGAUCAUUCGCAAUGCGCGAAAGCGUGACGAUGCGACGCUGCGUGGAGGAUGAAGGCCUUCGGGUCGUAAACUCCUGUCAUGAGGGAACAGCCAUUUCGCCCCUAAUACGGGUGGGAUCCGAUGGUACCUCAAGAGGAAGCCACGGCUAACUCUGUGCCAGCAGCCGCGGUAAUACAGAGGUGGCGAGCGUUGUUCGGAUUUACUGGGCGUAAAGGGUGCGUAGGUGGUUUUGUAUGUCGGAUGUGAAAGCCCAUGGCUCAACCGUGGAAUUGCAUUCGAAACUGCGGAACUAGAGUGCAGGAUGGGAGAGCGGAAUUCUUGGUGUAGCGGUGAAAUGCGUUGAUAUCAAGAAGAACACCGGUGGCGAAGGCGGCUCUCUGGAAUGUCACUGACACUGAGGCACGAAAGCUGGGGGAGCAAACAGGAUUAGAUACCCUGGUAGUCCCAGCCGUAAACGGUGCACUCUUGGUGUGGGGAGAUUUAACCCUCUCCGUGCCGGAGCUAACGCGUUAAGUGUGCCGCCUGGGGAGUACGGCCGCAAGGCUAAAACUCAAAGAAAUUGACGGGGGCCCGCACAAGCGGAGGAGCAUGUGGCUUAAUUCGAUGCAACGCGAAGAACCUUACCAGGGCUUGACAUAUACCUGCACGCCCCUCGAAAGGGGGGAAGCCUUCGAGGGUGGUAUACAGGUGCUGCAUGGCUGUCGUCAGUUCGUGCUGUGAGGUGUUGGGUUAAGUCCCGUAACGAACGCAACCCUUGUGGUUAGUUGCCACCGGCGGUGAUGAGCCGCCGAGCACUCUAGCCAGACUGCCCGUACAAGCGGGAGGAAGGUGGG
rnacentral:rRNA from 1 species